UCAAGGCCUCAGCACGGGUUGUGCUACCCAGAGGAAUCCUGUGGCAAAGAAAGGCCCUCAAAGUUCAAAAGAUUAUUUGAACGUGGUGACUUGGAGACAUAUAUCAGGUGCCAGCUUUGCAGCGCUCUGCGUGUCACACCACAGGGCUCCACUAAGGCCUUGGUGUCACUUUCUGCUGCCUCGAGAAAGCAGUCAGCAGCAGCCAGAGGACUGACUUUCACCUCAAACUCCUGGGCACAGCUUCCUGAAUCUAGCAUUUCUACAGUUCAGGUUCAUGGGGGGAUUAGAGGCAGAGUUUGGAAACGCCAGUUGUGUGUCCUGCCGCCUCUAGAUUCUCCUUCUUCCAGUAUUUGGUGGUCUUCGUUCCUUUAUUUAGUUACCCAUAGCCUCUUAAAAUUGUAUCCUGACAAAGACCACAUCAGCACAUUACCCCGCACUGAUCCACUAGAUGGCGCUGUCUCAAGCUGGCAGAACACACCAGUUGAACGAUUUUGUUUUGCUUUGAUUUGCAUCGAUGGGUCCAGCAACGUGCUGUGGGGACGUCCCUGGUGGCCCAGUGGUUACAGAAUCCGACUGCCAAUGCAGGGGACACAGGUUCAAUCCCUGAUCCAGGACGAUCCCACAUGCCGCGGAGCAGCAGAGCCCAUGUGCCACUCAGUUGGCCCGUGUGCCACUGCUGAAGCCACUGCAACGAGAAGUCCUGGUACCCCAACGAAGAGUAGCCCCCACUCAGCAACAAAGACUCGGCACAACCAAAAAUAAAUAAAAAUACAAAAGAAACCUGCUGCAGUUAUUUCACAGGGAUCCUCUGAAGGACGUGACGUUAUUAGUUUUCUAAUAAGGAGAAGGUUUAAAGCCACCAGCAGUGAGGCUGGGGAAGAGACUUCCAGAGGAAAAGCAAGCAGACGAGGGAGCCUCUGGAAGCCUAAAGGGAGCGGGGGCCACAGGCUACCAUGGAGUGAAGGCGCCAUCUAGUGGCUCCCCUGAGUGCGGCUGCUUUGUUGUUUUUUAAAGACAGUGAUGGGGGCAGUUUAUCUAUUUUUAUUUUUUAUUAUUUAUCUGGCUGCGUUGGGUCUUAGUUGUGCCACAUCAGGUCUUCCUUGCUGCACACCGACUCUCUACUUGUAGCGCACGGGGCUCCAACACACGGGCUCAGUUGCUCCACUGCAUGUGGGAUCCUAGUCCCCUGACCAGGAAUCAAACCUGUGGAUUCCUUGUGACACUGCAAGGUGGGUUCUUAACCACUGGGCCACCAGGGAAGUUCCUAAACCUGGUGCUGAAAGAUGCCUUCUAGAACCUAAAUUGCAGCUCUGCCCUGGGGGCCUGAGGAUUAAGACAUCUCAACUCAGUUCAGUUCAGUUCAGUCACUCAGUCAUGUCCGACUCUUUGCCACCCCAUGGACUGCAGCACACCAGGCCUCCCUGUCCAUCACCAACU
rnacentral:lncRNA from 1 species